rnacentral:rRNA from 1 species
UGGGGAAUCUUGCGCAAUGGGCGAAAGCCUGACGCAGCGACGCCGCGUGUGGGAUGACGGCCUUCGGGUUGUAAACCACUGUCGGGAGGGACGAAGCUCUGACGGUACCUCCAAAGGAAGCACCGGCUAACUCUGUG